UUGCGGUUCACUUCCUUGGCGGCACUUAAACAUCCAAUAUGGCGACCAAAAAACGAAAAAUAGAUCGCAAAAUCAACGAUUUUUUUAAUUUUCAACCGAAAUCAAUUCAAUCUCAACACGCAUUUAUAUGAUAGCUGGAUUAAAAAGGAUUCCACUCAAGAUGUUCCGCCUAGCAACCAGCUGCACUCCCAGUCAGGAAAAGUUACAGUCCUGCCCUCUGUUGGUGAUAUGGCCAAGAAAACGUCGCAGGUAUCAACUGACCAAACUGAAGCUAACUCAGGGAUUUCAACCACCAUUUGCUUCAGUAAAGAUUCCACUCAAGAUGUUCCGCCUAGCAACCAGCUGCACUCCCAGUCAGCAAAAGUUACAGUUAAUAUAGUCAAGAAGUCUUCGCAAGUAUGAUGUCGACUCUUUGAAUUGAUGAUGUUUGACUAUGAAAUUUGAUGAUGUUUCACUAUGAAAUUUGAUGAUGUGUGACUAUGAAAAAUGAUGAUGUUUUGUUUAUUUAAAUUGAUGAUGUCUUGCUGUGAAAUUUGAUGAUGUUUUACUAUGAAAUUUGAUGAUUUUUGACUAUGAAAUUUGAUGAUGUUUAACUAUGAACUUUGAUUAAGUUUGACUAUGAAAAUUGAUGAUGUUUUGUUAAAUUGAUAAUGUUUUCCUAUGAAAUUUAAUGAAGUUUGGCUAUGAAAUUGGAUAUGUUUUACUAUGAAAAAUGAUGAUGUUUUACUAUGAAAAUUGAUAAUGUUUUGCUUUGAAAAUUGAUGAUGUUUAACUAUGUGAAAGUUGUAGUGAUGAAGUUUUGCUAUGAAAAUUGAUGAUACUUUGCUUUAAAGAUUUAUGAUAAAAAAUUAUGAUGCAUACUAUUUGAAGUGAUGAUGCUUUACUAUUUGAAGUGAUGAUGUUUGACUAUGAAAUUUGAUGAUAUUUAACAAUAUGAAGUUUGAAAUGAUGCUGCUUGACUUUGAACAAUGUUAAAAUGUGAUCAUGUGAGAGUAUGUAAAAUGAUGAUUGUUGGCUAUGAAAAGUGUUUAUGUUUGGCUUUGAAAAUUGAUGAUGUUGAUUAUAAAUAAUGAUGAUCAAGUA